CCCUUAGAUGUUCUGGGCCGCACGCGCGCUACACUGAAUGGAUCAACGUGUUUUCCCUUCCCGAGAGGGACGGGUAACCCGCUGAACCCCAUUCGUGGUAGGGAUCGGAGCUUGCAAUUGUUCUCCGUGAACCAGGAAUUCCCAGUAAGCGCAAGUCAUAAGCUUGCGUUGAUUACGUCCCUGCCCUUUGUACACACCGCCCGUCGCACCUACUGAUUGGAUGACUCGGUGAAAAAUUGGGACUGUGAAGAACACUGCUUAAUUGCGGCGUUUUUUAUGGGAACUUUUUUAAACCUCGUUAUCUAGAAGAAGGUGAAGUCGUAACA
rnacentral:rRNA from 1 species